AGUGAACGCUGGCGGUAGGCCUAACACAUGCAAGUCGAACGGCAGCACAGUAAGAGCUUGCUCUUACGGGUGGCGAGUGGCGGACGGGUGAGGAAUACAUCGGAAUCUACUUUUUCGUGGGGGAUAACGUAGGGAAACUUACGCUAAUACCGCAUACGACCUACGGGUGAAAGCAGGGGAUCUUCGGACCUUGCGCGAUCGAAUGAGCCGAUGUCGGAUUAGCUAGUUGGCGGGGUAAAGGCCCACCAAGGCGACGAUCCGUAGCUGGUCUGAGAGGAUGAUCGGCCACACUGGAACUGAGACACGGUCCAGACUCCUACGGGAGGCAGCAGUGGGGAAUAUUGGACAAUGGGCGCAAGCCUGAUCCAGCCAUGCCGCGUGGGUGAAGAAGGCCUUCGGGUUGUAAAGCCCUUUUGUUGGGGAAGAAAAGCAGCAGGUUAAUACCCCGCUGUUCUGACGGUACCCAAAGAAUAAGCACCGGCUAACUUCGUG
rnacentral:rRNA from 1 species